CAUAAAUAUUCAUCUCGUCUGCAAUAAAGCUCCUCGAGAGCAGGGCCCAUAUCUUAACUUUUAUCAGGGAUUAGCACCUUGUGCACAACAGGUGCUCCCCAAGUCUUCUACCAUCUAGAUCGGAACAGCACACG